CAAAAGUCAGAACCCUUGAGACACUCCACAUUUCCGACCUAUUUGGUUUAGUCCACACUGUCUUGUUAAGAAGCACAUUUGUGUGAUGCGAUUAGCCAAAUAUAUUAUCACUUUUGCUAUGGCGUAAGAUUGUACUUGGUUUUCCUACUCUCUUUAUGAGACAUGCAUAUAUCAGAGGCUUCAUUAACUUUAGGCAUUGUUAUAGGCUUUGCCGUCCUCCUUUGCUCUCUUGUACCUGCGGACACUAGAGGAAGUUCUCUUGAUAUGCGUUUUGUAAAUUGGGGUAUAGGCACCACGUCCCGUUAUGGAUUCCGCGGUUUCUUUAAUCAAGGCUUGAUGGCAGCACCACCCGGCUAUACUUUCAAAAAGAAAAGAAAUAUCCUUCACGGCAUGGCACCACGAUCUCUUCGUCCUAUUUCCAGACGAACUCCACGCAACUUCUUUUAUCUCCUACUGUUGAUAUUUGUGUCUGCAUUUUAUUCAAAUAGGAACAGGUUUGCCUUUUGCUAGAGGAAAAAGUUGUGCACCAUGUCUUUCCUGGCACAGCUCGAAGUGAGGUUCACAUGCAAACCCCUUCAAAUAUGAGAGAAUGCAACGUGCAGCUAUGGAUGUGUUACUUCGACAGGCAGGGAUUUCCUAUGGCGAUAUCCUGAUAAUGGCGGAUACUGAUGAGAUCCCUAGCACGAAGGUUUUGAAACUGUUGCAAUGGUGUGAGGGAAUCCCUUCUGAAUUGCAUCUUGAGAUGAAGCAUUACCUGUACUCAUUUGAGUUCCCCAUGGACAGCAUCUGGAAGACUGCAGCCACUAUCUACAGCAAGGAUACCAGGUACACGCAUUCGAGGCGUACUGAUGACCUGCUCUCUGAUGCAGGAUGGCAUUGUAGUUUUUGCUUUCGGCACAUUGAGGAGUUUGUGUUCAAGAUGAGUGCUUAUAGCCACGCAGACCGUGUGUGGCGGAGAGAUUUUCUGGAUUACGGAAGAAUACAGAAGCUCAUUUGUCAAGGAGAUGAUCUUUUCGAUAUGUUGCCUGAAGGGUACACAUUCAAGGAAGUGAUCAGCAAGAUGGGAUCGAUUCCCAAAUCAGCUUCUGCUAUUAACCUUCCAGCUUAUCUGAUAAAGAAUGCGGACAAAUUUAGGUUCCUUCUCCCUGGAGGCUGUAUCAGAGAGACUGGUAGCUCUUCUAACUUUGCUAAGGAAAAUAGUCAUUCUGAUCUUAGUGUUCUUUAGGACAUCGAGAUAGUUAACCUUCUCUUUAUCUUGUCCUUGGUGAGGAUCAUGCGGUUAAGUGUUCAAGUCAAAUAUGCUAGCUAGUUAUGUUAGGAGAUAUAAAGUAUGGUGUUCAAGUCUAGUACUUCCGCAACAAGAAUCAUUGUGAUCUUUAUGGACAUUCUCAUGGUUCCUUAACUUCAACCAUUCUGGAGAAUGCUACAACAUGAAUCAAUCUUCUCUUAAUUAACAUGCUUGGUAAUUCUUGUUCAUCAAAAAUAAAAUAUUAUGAGAAUAUAAAAUUAAUAAUGAAAGUAUGAAACUCACAUAUUCUCUGAGGUUCUUUUCUUGCCAAGGGAACCACUGUGGUUAAGACAUCAGAGUUUGGAGACCUCUCUCAAUACAAUGACUUCUUCGAAAACUUGGUUUACAAGCCUCCUCCUCCUCCUCCUCCUCCUGUGUCUGAUGAUCAACAUAGAAAUCAUAUCCUUUCUCUCGGAUUUGCUCAACUCACAGAACUCUAUACUAUUGUGAUCCAUAUCUUCCUCAAGAAGGUUAAGUUUCUGCAUCCGCGAUGUGAGCAAGUCAUCAUCCUUG